rnacentral:rRNA from 1 species
AGUGAACGCUGGCGGUAGGCCUAACACAUGCAAGUCGAACGGCAGUACAGAGGAGCUUGCUCCUUGGGUGGCGAGUGGCGGACGGGUGAGGAAUACAUCGGAAUCUACUCUGUCGUGGGGGAUAACGUAGGGAAACUUACGCUAAUACCGCAUACGACCUACGGGUGAAAGCAGGGGAUCUUCGGACCUUGCGCGAUUGAAUGAGCCGAUGUCGGAUUAGCUAGUUGGCGGGGUAAAGGCCCACCAAGGCGACGAUCCGUAGCUGGUCUGAGAGGAUGAUCAGCCACACUGGAACUGAGACACGGUCCAGACUCCUACGGGAGGCAGCAGUGGGGAAUAUUGGACGAUGGGCGCAAGCCUGAUCCAGCCAUACCGCGUGGGUGAAGAAGGCCUUCGGGUUGUAAAGCCCUUUUGUUGGGAAAGAAAUCCAUCUGGUUAAUACCCGGGUGGGAUGACGGUACCCAAAGAAUAAGCACCGGCUAACUUCGUGCCAGCCGCCGCGGUAA